rnacentral:rRNA from 1 species
CCCGCUCAGAAACUUAAAGGAAUUGACGGGGGCCCGCACAAGCGGUGGAGCAUGUGGUUUAAUUCGAUGAUACGCGAGGAACCUUACCUGGGCUCAAAUGUAUGUUGACGUAUUCUGAAAGGGAUACUUCUUCGGACAAUAUACAAGGUGCUGCAUGGUUGUCGUCAGCUCGUGCCGUGAGGUGUCGGGUUAAGUCCCAUAACGAGCGCAACCCCUAUCAUUAGUUGCCAUCAGGUCAAGCUGGGGACUCUAAUGAAACUGCCUACGCAAGUAGUGAGGAAGGUGGGGAUGACGUCAAAUCAGCACGGCCCUUACGUCCAGGGCUACACACGUGCUACAAUGGCCGGUACAAAGGGCAGCUACCUGGUGACAGGAUGCUAAUCUCAAAAGCCGGUCUCAGUUCGGAUCGGAGUCUGCAACCCGACUCCGUGAAGCUGGAUUCGCUAGUAAUCGCGCAUCAGCCAUGGCGCGGUGAAUACGUUCCCGGGCCUU